rnacentral:rRNA from 1 species
UACGUAGGGUGCGAGCGUUGUUCGGAAUUAUUGGGCGUAAAGAGCUUGUAGGCGGUUUGUCGCGUCUGCUGUGAAAAUCCGGGGCUCAACCCCGGACUUGCAGUGGGUACGGGCAGACUAGAGUGUGGUAGGGGAGACUGGAAUUCCUGGUGUAGCGGUGAAAUGCGCAGAUAUCAGGAGGAACACCGGUGGCGAAGGCGGAUCUCUGGGCCUUACCUGACGCUCAGGCGCGAAAGCUAGGGGAGCGAACAGG